rnacentral:rRNA from 1 species
AGAGUUUGAUCAUGGCUCAGAACGAACGCUGGCGGCAUGCCUAACACAUGCAAGUCGAACGUGAUCCAUGACUUCGGUUGUGGUGAAAGUGGCAAACGGGUGAGUAACGCGUGGGAACCUGCCCAGAGGUAGGGAAUAACUGCGGGAAACUGCGGCUAAUACCCUAUGUGCCCUGAGGGGCAAAGAUUUAUCGCCUUUGGAGGGGCCCGCGUCGGAUUAGGUAGUUGGUGGGGUAACGGCCUACCAAGCCAUCGAUCCGUAGCUGGUCUGAGAGGAUGAUCAGCCACACUGGGACUGAGAUACGGCCCAGACUCCUACGGGAGGCAGCAGUGGGGAAUAUUGGACAAUGGGGGCAACCCUGAUCCAGCAAUGCCGCGUGAGUGAUGAAGGCCUUCGGGUUGUAAAGCUCUUUCGGCGGGGAAGAUGAUGACGGUACCCGCAGAAGAAGCCCCGGCUAACUUCGUGCCAGCAGCCGCGGUAAUACGAGGGGGGCUAGCGUUGUUCGGAAUUACUGGGCGUAAAGGGCGCGUAGGCGGUGCUGUAAGUCAGGCGUGAAAUCCCCGGGCUCAACCUGGGAAUUGCGCAUGAUACUGCGGCGCUGGAAUGCGGGAGAGGAUGGCGGAAUUCCCAGUGUAGAGGUGAAAUUCGUAGAUAUUGGGAAGAACACCGGGCGAAGGCGGCCAUCUGGCCCGUAAUUGACGCUGAGGCGCGAAAGCGUGGGGAGCAAACAGGAUUAGAUACCCUAGUAGUCC